UACGUAGGCAGCAAGCGUUGUUCGGAAUUACUGGGCGUAAAGAGUGUGUAGGUGGUGUCGUAAGUUUGGUGUGAAAUCUCCCGGCUUAACUGGGAGGGUGCGCCGAAGACUGCGAUGCUGGAGUAUGGGAGAGGAAAGCGGAAUUCCUGGUGUAGCGGUGAAAUGCGUAGAUAUCAGGAGGAACACCUGCGGUGUAGACGGCUUUCUGGACCAUUACUGACACUGAGACACGAAAGCGUGGGUAGCAAACAGG
rnacentral:rRNA from 3 species